GGAAGGAGAAGUCGUAACAAGGUUUCCGGAGGUGAGCCUGCGGAAGAAUCAUUGUCGAGACCCGCCGCAAACACGCGGAAGACCCGAGAACACGCGGAAGCGCGGGGACGCCGGCGCGGAGGAAAGAAAUGACACAUGAGUCACACGACUCUCGGCAACGGAUAUCUCAGCUCUCGCAUCGAUGAAGAACGUAGCGAAAUGCGAUACUUGGUGUGAUUUGCAUAAUCCCGUGAACCAUCGAGUCUUUGAAUGCAAGUUGCGCUCGAGGCCGGGUCUGCAUGGGCGUCACGCUAACGAGUCGCUCCGGCACCCGCCCUCCCCGAGCGCGUGGCGGGGCACCACGAGCGUUGGAUCGGCGACGCACCGAGUUCCUGAGGUCAUCGCGCCCUCUCCGCGCUGGGAGAGGCACCUUGUGCACAACCAACGGAUGACGAGGGCCGCCACGAGAAGGACGGGGAUGACCUCCCCCCUCCGCCGGCCCUCGCGCCGCGAUCCCAAGUCAGGCGGAGCCACCCGCUGAGUUUAAGCAUAUCAAUAAGCGGAGGAA
rnacentral:rRNA from 1 species